UUAAAUUUCCGUCGACGAUAACUUUUUAACGUGCACGUUAGAGGACAUCACGACGUCUACACUCAACUGAACCGCACAGAACGUCCACGGUGCGUAAAAUAAAAAU